GAGGAGUGUUAGUUGAAGAAAAGGAUGUUGUGUAGGCUGGAGAAGAAAAGCUGCAGGAAGAGUGUCAUGGCUUCUUGCUACAUAGAGACUUCUAUUUCCACCAAUAUAUAAUACGGAAUAAAAAUCAAUAAUACACAGAGAGGAGUAAAGAACUACUUGUUUAAGGUCCACUUUUUACCUGAAGAUGUCUCUUGGUUCCAUGACCCCUCUCUGGGUAGAUCAAACCAUCUUUGCUCCCUGUUGUGAUUGCACCUCACAAAGUGUGACUUUGCAGGCUCACUAGAGGUAGACAGAGGGACCAGAGGGUAACACUGAACACUAACGGACACCAGCCUCAACUAGAUGAGGUCAUAAGCUAUCUGCUUGAAUCCUGAAGUACAAUUACAAGUACAUGCACCUG